rnacentral:rRNA from 1 species
GGGACACGUGGUAUCCUGUCUGAAUAUGGGGGGACCAUCCUCCAAGGCUAAAUACUCCUGACUGACCGAUAGUGAACCAGUACCGUGAGGGAAAGGCGAAAAGAACCCCGGCGAGGGGAGUGAAAAAGAACCUGAAACCGUGUACGUACAAGCAGUGGGAGCCUCUUUUAUGGGGUGACUGCGUACCUUUUGUAUAAUGGGUCAGCGACUUAUAUUCUGUAGCAAGGUUAACCGAAUAGGGGAGCCGAAGGGAAACCGAGUCUUAACUGGGCGUUAAGUUGCAGGGUAUAGACCCGAAACCCGGUGAUCUAGCCAUGGGCAGGUUGAAGGUUGGGUAACACUAACUGGAGGACCGAACCGACUAAUGUUGAAAAAUUAGCGGAUGACUUGUGGCUGGGGGUGAAAGGCCAAUCAAACCGGGAGAUAGCUGGUUCUCCCCGAAAGCUAUUUAGGUAGCGCCUCGUGAAUUCAUCUCCGGGGGUAGAGCACUGUUUCGGCAAGGGGGUCAUCCCGACUUACCAACCCGAUGCAAACUGCGAAUACCGGAGAAUGUUAUCACGGGAGACACACGGCGGGUGCUAACGUCCGUCGUGAAGAGGGAAACAACCCAGACCGCCAGCUAAGGUCCCAAAGUCAUGGUUAAGUGGGAAACGAUGUGGGAAGGCCCAGACAGCCAGGAUGUUGGCUUAGAAGCAGCCAUCAUUUAAAGAAAGCGUAAUAGCUCACUGGUCGAGUCGGCCUGCGCGGAAGAUGUAACGGGGCUAAACCAUGCACCGAAGCUGCGGCAGCGACGCUUAUGCGUUGUUGGGUAGGGGAGCGUUCUGUAAGCCUGUGAAGGUGUGCUGUGAGGCAUGCUGGAGGUAUCAGAAGUGCGAAUGCUGACAUAAGUAACGAUAAAGCGGGUGAAAAGCCCGCUCGCCGGAAGACCAAGGGUUCCUGUCCAACGUUAAUCGGGGCAGGGUGAGUCGACCCCUAAGGCGAGGCCGAAAGGCGUAGUCGAUGGGAAACAGGUUAAUAUUCCUGUACUUGGUGUUACUGCGAAGGGGGGACGGAGAAGGCUAUGUUGGCCGGGCGACGGUUGUCCCGGUUUAAGCGUGUAGGCUGGUUUUCCAGGCAAAUCCGGAAAAUCAAGGCUGAGGCGUGAUGACGAGGCACUACGGUGCUGAAGCAACAAAUGCCCUGCUUCCAGGAAAAGCCUCUAAGCAUCAGGUAACAUCAAAUCGUACCCCAAACCGACACAGGUGGUCAGGUAGAGAAUACCAAGGCGCUUGAGAGAACUCGGGUGAAGGAACUAGGCAAAAUGGUGCCGUAACUUCGGGAGAAGGCACGCUGAUAUGUAGGUGAAGUCCCUCGCGGAUGGAGCUGAAAUCAGUCGAAGAUACCAGCUGGCUGCAACUGUUUAUUAAAAACACAGCACUGUGCAAACACGAAAGUGGACGUAUACGGUGUGACGCCUGCCCGGUGCCGGAAGGUUAAUUGAUGGGGUCAGCGCAAGCGAAGCUCUUGAUCGAAGCCCCGGUAAACGGCGGCCGUAACUAUAACGGUCCUAAGGUAGCGAAAUUCCUUGUCGGGUAAGUUCCGACCUGCACGAAUGGCGUAAUGAUGGCCAGGCUGUCUCCACCCGAGACUCAGUGAAAUUGAACUCGCUGUGAAGAUGCAGUGUACCCGCGGCAAGACGGAAAGACCCCGUGAACCUUUACUAUAGCUUGACACUGAACAUUGAGCCUUGAUGUGUAGGAUAGGUGGGAGGCUUUGAAGUGUGGACGCCAGUCUGCAUGGAGCCGACCUUGAAAUACCACCCUUUAAUGUUUGAUGUUCUAACGUUGACCCGUAAUCCGGGUUGCGGACAGUGUCUGGUGGGUAGUUUGACUGGGGCGGUCUCCUCCUAAAGAGUAACGGAGGAGCACGAAGGUUGGCU